CCUGGGCCCUGGUUCUAAGAAGCCAGAGGGGGCUGGUCAAGUGGGAGACCCCAAACACUGUCCUCUAAAGGCGCCGGGCCGGCCAGAGGCAGGCGCUGCUCACAAGCCGAGGGUAAGUCACUUCACCACCAGCAUCGAGUCCUGAGGGCCCAACUUCCGUUCCGGGUCCUCGGCCACACAUCUGCCUUCCAGUUUGGGUUGGAAGCUGCUCGAGCGAGUCCCUGUCCUCACUGUCACACUCCCACCCCCAAACCCUCAUCUAGCAUGGCCCUGGCGGCUCCUCCGACUCCAGCAGUAGUAGCAGCAGCAGCAGCUCCAGCGACUCAGAGGCAGAGGGGAAGGCGCACGCCGCUGGCUGCAAGAAGCAUGAACGCUCCUCAGACAAGGCCAAGAAACCCAAAGUGAAGAAGGAGAGGAAAAAGAAAGAGAAGACUCCCCAUUAACUUAUUAAACUUGCAGCCCUUUCCGCUCCCCGGCGCCCUCUGCCGGGCAGGAGCGGAGGCCGCGCCGAGCCCAUC
rnacentral:lncRNA from 1 species